rfam:Mucor circinelloides f. lusitanicus CBS 277.49 MTCCIscaffold_01, whole genome shotgun sequence.
GGCCAAGGAUUAUAAACAUAUUUGCUACUUCUGAGAGAUAAUGAGGUUAUAAAAUAUCACCAAGAUCGAUGAGGCA